rnacentral:rRNA from 1 species
AUUGAACGCUGGCGGCAGGCCUAACACAUGCAAGUCGAACGGUAACAGGAAGCAGCUUGCUGCUUUGCUGACGAGUGGCGGACGGGUGAGUAAUGUCUGGGAAACUGCCCGAUGGAGGGGGAUAACUACUGGAAACGGUAGCUAAUACCGCAUAACGUCGCAAGACCAAAGAGGGGGACCUUAGGGCCUCUUGCCAUCGGAUGUGCCCAGAUGGGAUUAGCUAGUAGGUGGGGUAACGGCUCACCUAGGCGACGAUCCCUAGCUGGUCUGAGAGGAUGACCAGCCACACUGGAACUGAGACACGGUCCAGACUCCUACGGGAGGCAGCAGUGGGGAAUAUUGCACAAUGGGCGCAAGCCUGAUGCAGCCAUGCCGCGUGUAUGAAGAAGGCCUUCGGGUUGUAAAGUACCUUCAGCGGGGAGGAAGGGAGUAAAGUUAAUACCUUUGCUCAUUGACGUUACCCGCAGAAGAAGCACCGGCUAACUCCGUG